AGUCUGACGGAGCAACGCCGCGUGAGUGACGAAGGCCUUCGGGUCGUAAAGCUCUGUUGUUAGGGAAGAACAAGUACCGUUCGAAUAGGGCGGUACCUUGACGGUACCUAACCAGAAAGCCACGGCUAACUACGUGCCAGCAGCCGCGGUAAUACGUAGGUGGCAAGCGUUGUCCGGAAUUAUUGGGCGUAAAGCGCGCGCAGGCGGUCUCUUAAGUCUGAUGUGAAAGCCCACGGCUCAACCGUGGAGGGCCAUUGGAAACUGGGGGACUUGAGUGCAGAAGAGGAGAGUGGAAUUCCACGUGUAGCGGUGAAAUGCGUAGAUAUGUGGAGGAACACCAGUGGCGAAGGCGGCUCUCUGGUCUGUAACUGACGCUGAGGCGCGAAAGCGUGGGGAGCAAACAGGAUUAGAUACCCUGGUAGUCCACGCCGUAAACGAUGAGUGCUAGGUGUUGGGGGGUUCCACCCUCAGUGCUGAAGUUAACACAUUAAGCACUCCGCCUGGGGAGUACGACCGCAAGGUUGAAACUCAAAGGAAUUGACGGGGG
rnacentral:rRNA from 1 species